rnacentral:lncRNA from 10 species
AGUUUGGUGCUGAGUGCUCUGGACGCCCCAGCAGGGCCGGAGAAAAUCUGCAGAGGCAGCAGCAACUGACCCUAACAGAGCAAGAGGCCUGACCUUCACACCUAUGUAACCCAAGGUCACAGAAAUGCUGAGGGGCCAUGUGACUCCAGUGAAGCAGGAGUAUCCAUCCAGCCACAGAGAUGGGACCUGUCCAAAUGGGACCUGUCUGUUCCAAAGGUUAUUCUGCUUGUUCUGGAGACUGGGAAUUCCAAGAGCAUGAUACCAGCAUCUGGCGAGCGUUAUCCCCUGGUAGGAAGUAUCACAUGUGCUGGUUAAUUAACCAAUCAUAAAGAAAAGAUGAAAGUAUGUGAACCUCAAAUCCUUGUGUUCUGGAAAAAAAACAUACUCACAGAAUAAUGAAAAAAAAUUUCAACUAAUGAGAACCAGGAACAAUGACCACUGGAAAUAAUGAAAACAGUUGGAUCAAACAGCUACAAGUAAAGCACUUGGAAUGGUAGAGUGCUUCCCUCAAUGGAUGGAAGGAGACUGGAUCCCUCUGACACUGACUGGAAGAGCUCUGCUAAGCAAAGCUGCGAGCUCAUGAAAGACUGUGAGGAGAGUAAGAGGUAACCUUUUAUUGUGUUAAGUCAUUAAUGUCAGGGUUUACUUGUUACUACAGCAUGGCUUCCUCUAACACCUCCUCUUAUCAACUGCCUUUUCUGAGUCUUUCCUUGACUCAUGAUUUUGAGUUAACUUAGUAAACUUACCAAAGGCUGACUUUGCACCAAGAAUCAUUAUAGGUACUGGAAAAUUUAAAAGAUGAAGGAGGUGGAGUCAUUUUUUCCUAAGGAGCUGGGAGAGGAGAUAAGAAAUGGGAUCAAAUAAUGAACAACAAGUUUCAAAGGGAUCAGAGUCCAAUAAAACCUGCCGCCUGAGCUCUUAAGAGAGAAAUGGAAAUCGUAGUUGUGAACAUCAGGCUUUCUAGAAGUGGCUGUACCAACAUCAGCCUUGAAAGAGCUCAAUCCAGCAGAUCCUGUCCCACUUGGAACCUGGCUAUGAGUGAGAAAACAUCUGUGGUUGGAAAAUGGGGCUGGUGAUUCAGGCCUGUUUGGGAAGAAGAUGCUCUUGAAUGCUUUGCUCAACAAACACCUCCCUUCUGCAAGGAGGUGAGAGGUCAUCUGUCUGUCUACUUUGACACUUUCACCCACUGAACUUCAGGGCUUAAGACACCUUCCCCAUAAAUUGGAGUGAGCGCGGCACAAACUGUCCCUGAAUUUGACCAUAACUGACUCACCAAAGGUCUGAGUAGGGGAGAAGGCAAAAACAGACAAACAGGCACUGAGGACUUUGCCAUCCCAGACCUGUGUCAUGUAAACAGGCUGUCUGCUUCACAGCCAAGGAAUGAGCCCUGGACGUGGGUCGGAACUGGAGCCUUAACAGCUAAUACCCAGAGCCUUUGACUGUGGACGACUGUGUUCAAAGGGGCAGGCUGCCCACUACUAGGGCAUGGAGGAGAGGCAGGAUGUGGGGAAAGAGUGUGGUUUUGGAAUCAGACACAACUGGUCCCCGCCACUUACUCAGCCUUGUGACCUCAGAUGAAAAAGUCUCUUAUUCUUACUAAGGCUCAGUUUCCCCAACUGUGAAACUGACAUAACACUAUGGACUUCAAAAGGCUUUACAAGCAAAACAAUUUAUAAAACAAUUUAUUCAACAAUUUAUUCAGGCACUUAGCACAGUGCUAGCACAUAGAUAUAAGUAACAGUUUUUUUUCUCUGUUCCUUCUACGUGGAGGAGAGGCAUCUGUUGUCUCUUCAAGUUAAUUAAUUUGAAAAUAUCCAGUAGCAACCAUUUCUUAAAUUCCUCUUACGAGCCAUUUAGUUUUGCAACAACUGCAAGAUAGACAGUAUUAUUCCCAUUUUACAGAUAUGGACAUUGAAGCUCAGGAGGUACACCGGAUAUAGUGACUUUGAUCUUCUCAUUGCCCUGACACUGAUGAGAGAGAGAUAACAAAAUCAAAAAGAACAGUUGGAGGAAUAAAUGUCAAAUAUAGGAGGCUGGAAGCAUAGUCUCUAACCUCAGUCUAGCCUCGGAUAAUAGCAUUUUCAUCUUGCUACAGCAGUAGCAGACACCAGCUGGGUGCCUUCUCCCUAUUUUAUUCAUUUGUAUGUUCAUUGAGCAAUUUAUCUAUUGCUAAUUCCUUAGCAAGCAUUUACUGUGACCUUCCUUUUAUUAUUACUAUUAUUAUUAUUCAUUUUAGAGACAGGGCUAUGCCAUUAUGUUGCCUACGCUGGAGGGCAGUGGUUAUUUACAGGUGUGAUGCCGCUACUGAUCAGCAUGGGAGUUUUGACCUGAUUCAUUUCUGAUCUGGGCCCAUUUGCCCCUCCUUAGGCAACCUGUGAUGCCCCACUCCCAGGAAGUCACUGUAUUGAUGCUGAACUUAGUGUGGGCACUUCAUGGGCACAGCACACUACAGCCCAGAACUCCUGGGCUCAAGUGAUCCUUCCACCACAGCUUUUCCAGCAGCUGGGACUACAGGUACAUGCCAUUGUGCUCAGCUACUGUGUACUUCCUAUGUCCUCAAAUCCUGCUACUCAAAACAUAAUUCCUAAGCCAGAAGCAUCAGCAUCACUGAGAGCUUAUUAGAAAUGCUGAUUCUCAGGCCUAACCUCGGACCAACUGAACCAGAGAAUCUGCAUUUUAACAAGAUCCCUGGGUGAUUCACAGCAUAUAUGAAAGAUUGAAAAUUGCUAUCCUUGAUGCUUUUCUUUUUUUUUUUUUUUUUUUGAGAUGGAGUCUCACUCUGUCACCAAGGCUAGAGUGCAAUGGCAUGAUCUUGGCUCACUGCAACCUCCGCCUCCCGGUUCAAAUGAUUCUCCUGUCUCAGCCUCCCAAGUAGCUGGGAUUACAGGCACGUGCCACCAUGCCCAGCUAAUUUUUGUAUUUUUAGUAGAGAUGGGGUUUCACCAUGUUGGCCAGGCUGGUCUUGAACUCCCGACCUCAGGUGAUUCACCUGCCUCGGCCUCCCAAAGUGCUGGGAUUACAGGUGUGAACCACCACACCUGGCCUCCUUGAUGCUUUUCUAUCUUGGUGAAAUACUUAUUGGGAGGACUCCCAGUACUGCUACCUUCCUUAUUGUGAGUAGAAAAAAACUGAAAAAGUCAAAGUGUUUUUUCAAUUCUCUCACUCAACAAUAAUCACCACUGAAGACUCCUGUGACCAACUCUGUGGGGAUUUCUCCUCACCAACAAGCAGUCAGUUCUGUAGCAGACACCAGCUGGGUACCCUCCAAUCCAAUUCAAUUCUGAUGUUACCUACCUGGAGGUAGCGUCAGAUGCCACAGGUUGAGGGCUCAGUCCCACGUGACUGCCCCUAACUUAUGAUACCAGUCAAAAGCCCCAGGUUGUUUUAUUUGUGCUUCUGACUGACCGUCUAUAAGUCAGGGAUCCCCUGAACCCCUUUUUGUGUGUGAUUAAUUUACUGGAGCAGAGCUUACAGAACUCAAGGAAACACUUAACAUUUACUGGUUUAUUAUUGUAUUAGUUCGUUUUCAUGCUGCUAAUAAAGACAUACCUGAGACUUGGUAAUCUAUAAAGGAA